rnacentral:rRNA from 1 species
UACGUAGGGUCCGAGCGUUGUCCGGAGUUACUGGGCGUAAAGCGCACGUAGGCGGCUUUUUAAGUCAGGGGUGAAAUCCCGGGGCUCAACCCCGGAACUGCCCUUGAAACUGGAGAGCUAGAAUCUUGGAGAGGCGAGUGGAAUUCCGAGUGUAGAGGUGAAAUUCGUAGAUAUUCGGAAGAACACCAGUGGCGAAGGCGACUCGCUGGACAAGUAUUGACGCUGAGGUGCGAAAGCGUGGGGAGCAAACAGG